ACCACGGUUCCUGUGCAUUCAGAGAAGUAGAAAUGGAAAAUAAAUGGCUUUUAUAUUGCAGAGCACAAGUAUUUCCCCUCAUCUUAAUAAUGCCUUUGCCUUUUGGUUGAAGAAGAAACGAGAAAUAAUAAUGCCACCUUUAUUUUGAGAUGUGGGCUCAUUUGGUGCAUGUGAAUAAGUGAGUCUAAUUUUAUUUUACUUAUUUUUGUUGGCUUUGAUAUUCAUGAAGCAGUGGGAAAACCAAGUGGGGAAGCUUACAGGGUCAAUAUGCAAACAAAUUCAUUUAUCUUUUUUUAAGAGGUUGAUAAACCCUUGAGGGUGAAGCAUGGCUUUAUGAAUAUUGAUAUCAAGGAAAGCAUUAAAAGAGAUUAGUUCAACUUUGCAAGGCAAUGUAAAUUUUCAGCUGGUCUUCCCUUCCCAGCAUAGUUAUAAAGAAAAGUAGUUGGGUCCAAAGCUUGAUAUCUAAAGGUAGUUGUAAAAUUAUUGCCUGAAGGGGAUGGAUAAAGCAUUGUUUAACCACUGUAAACAGGGCAAAAUUUGACGUGAUUUCUACUUCUCGUUUCACUCGUCAAAGAGGUUCUAGACCUGCAAAUUAUUUGAAGUGGUUGUUUUUGUUGUUGUUGUUGUAUAGGACCAAAGGGAGGCAGUUCCUUGAUAAAGCUGGUAGCAGAGCCAAGAUCAAAAAAUAAGUUUCUCAACUCCUGGCCAGACUAUUUUGAUCUGCACCUGUUCCUAUAAGCCUAUGACAAUGCAAGUCUGCAAAAGUAGGAAGGCAAAUGAUGACAUUAGAAUAAAAGGUGGUCGUUCUGAACAUAUAUUUUCAUUAGACACGUGCUAGCUAUAUACAGGGUUAUAGAGAUACUGCUUUUUCAGUGGGUGACUGAGAUCAGGCUUACAGGAUCUUAUAUUAAUCUAAUAAGUAAUAUUAUUUUCCCUAUUACCCUUUUUAGUGUUAUCAGAAUCACAAAUGCCAGUAACUCUGUUCCAGAUACCAUGCCAAGAUCCUUGCCAUAUGAUCUAUCCCUUUAAUUCUCUCAACAGCAUCAUAGCCCAUACCAAGUCUGUGAGAUAAAAUGCCCAAGGCUCUAUGAAGCCCCACCAGUGCCUUGCUUUCUGCGGUGGACGUGCUCUUGAGUGCCUGCCAGUGAAGGGAGUUGUAUGGAGAGACAUGUUUUAAAGGAAACCACCAGACAACCCUGUGAUUCACCUCGCAAAUGAUUCCUAUCAAAAACAGAGAUGUAACUGGGAGCUCUUUGAUUUUCUGUCAUCUAAGACUUUUCUUUUACCUCUGGCUUUGGUUGAUGUACAUGUGUGAGCACCUUAAACCCCUUAAAGAGAUAAUCCUGCAAAGGCGGAGAUGGAUGACUAGUUCUCAGUGAGAAGCAUGUGCACCAUUGGUAGAACACAGGUGUCAUAGAGGAAUUUCCUUUUGUAAAGGUAGAUAUCUCCAAAACAGGGAGACGCUGGCAUGUUAUAGGCAUUUAAUAAAGAUUUACCAAGCUGAAUUGUA